GGUUUGAUCCUGGCUCAGAUUGAACGCUGGCGGAAUGCUUUACACAUGCAAGUCGAACGGCAGCACGGGGGCAACCCUGGUGGCGAGUGGCGAACGGGUGAGUAAUACAUCGGAACGUGCCCAGUCGUGGGGGAUAACGUAGCGAAAGCUACGCUAAUACCGCAUACGAACUCUGGUUGAAAGCGGGGGAUCGCAAGACCUCGCGCGAUUGGAGCGGCCGAUGGCAGAUUAGGUAGUUGGUGGGGUAAAGGCUCACCAAGCCGACGAUCUGUAGCUGGUCUGAGAGGACGACCAGCCACACUGGGACUGAGACACGGCCCAGACUCCUACGGGAGGCAGCAGUGGGGAAUUUUGGACAAUGGGCGCAAGCCUGAUCCAGCCAUUCCGCGUGCAGGAUGAAGGCCCUCGGGUUGUAAACUGCUUUUGUACGGAACGAAAAGGCCUGAGUUAAUACCUCGGACUCAUGACGGUACCGUAAGAAUAAGCACCGGCUAACUACGUGCCAGCAGCCGCGGUAAUACGUAGGGUGCAAGCGUUAAUCGGAAUUACUGGGCGUAAAGCGUGCGCAGGCGGUUAUGUAAGACAGGUGUGAAAUCCCAGGGCUUAACCUUGGAACUGCAUUUGUGACUGCAUAGCUAGAGUACGGUAGAGGGGGAUGGAAUUCCGCGGGUAGCAGUGAAAUG
rnacentral:rRNA from 1 species